GGACUACAGGGGUAUCUAAUCCUGUUCGCUCCCCACGCUUUCGCUCCUCAGCGUCAGUAUCGGCCCAGACCACUGCCUUCGCCAUCGGUGUUCCUCCUGAUAUCUGCGCAUUUCACCGCUACACCAGGAAUUCCAUGGUCCCCUACCGAACUCAAGUCAUAGAAGUAUCAAGUGGCGUCUCCAGGUUGAGCCUGGAGGUUUCACACCUGACUUUCUAAACCGCCUACGAGCUCUUUACGCCCAAUAAAUCCGGACAACGCUUGCUCCCUACGUAUUACCGCGGCUGCUGGCAC
rnacentral:rRNA from 1 species